rnacentral:rRNA from 1 species
GAUGAACGCUGGCGGCGUGCUUAACACAUGCAAGUCGAACGGUGAAGCGCCUUCCUUUUUGGUGGGUGUUUAUGAGUGGCGAACGGGUGAGUAACACGUGAGCAACCUUCCCCCUUCUUCUGGACAACCGCAUGAAAGUGUUGCUAACACGUGAUAUUCUGGAUCUGUUGCAUGAUUGGUCUGGGACAGAUUUUGUGUCGGUUGUGGAUGGGUUCGCGGCGGAUUAGCUUGUUGGUGGGGUGAUGGCCUACCAAGGCGGCGAUGCGUAGCCGGCCUGAGAGGGUGGUCGGCGGUCACACUGCGGAUGCGCGGCGGAGAAGCCUACUGGAGGCGGCAGUAGUGGGGAUUAUUGCAUGAUGGGCAGCAGCCUGAUGCAGCGCCGCCGGGUGAAGGAUGGAGUCCGUCGGGUUGUAAACCUCUUUCGCGAAUGAAGCAGGGCGGAAUCGUUUGUGGGUGGGUUGACGGUAGCUGGAUAAGAAGCGCCGGCUAACUACGUG